rnacentral:lncRNA from 1 species
CAGAGUACGGUGUAAAGCAACUUUCUUUUGUUUGUUUCCGAUCUAAAACCCUUACGAAUGACUCCAAUUUCGACCUUUAGUUUUUCUUUGUUGGGUUAUAAUUAAACUACAAAUAUGUACGGCACUGUUGCCGCCCUCGGCAUCUCUGAUAUCUAUGGAUAUUUUUCUUGAUUAGAUCCAAAGUUAUUCGUAUCAAUAACAAUGAGUCUUACAACUUACAAGACUCUCUCCAGAAUAUUGGAUGAAUCCAUAAAGAAGGCGAUGCAUGGAAAACCUUAGAAGGUCUCUUAUCGUGUAUACACACACAUUAUUCCUUUUGUUUUUCUUGUAGACCUUGUGUGGACAAAAUUUAUGCCAACGGUUUUGCUUGUAACAACAUUUAACACUUCCAAGAUCGUAGCAUUAAGAAAAUCUGGAAAAACAUACGUGUAUUUGAUAUAUUGUUUUAGAGAUGAAGAGAAGUAUCAACAUCAGAACUCAUAUCAUCAAAUUUAUUCAUGAUGGUCGAAGUAUUUCCUGUAGUACUUGUGCCACAUGGCCAUGACCUGGUAUGAUCUUGUGGGACACUUUGGUCCAAUCCCGCAACAUUGGCAGGGUUCAUUUGUGAGUCUGGCCAGAGGGAAAGAGCCGGUUGGAAAGACUGUCUCUGAUGAAAGAACAUCUCCGAGUUAUGAAACGGGCCGGAGGAUGGCUGAUAUUGCAUGGUGGAAGGAGAAGAAGAAGAAGUAUGAUGUCCGCGGGUCUCCGACAACAAUCUUAAAAGCUCUCUCUCCUGCCUCAUCUCCCUUGUUCUCUGCAACUGUUUAAACCUUUCUUGCAACAGUGCAAUGGAAGAGUGAUGAAGGGCUGCUUGAUCACUUUUUGUAGCCAUUUUGGUGGAUUGGGGAGGAGAGUUGAAAGUACUAUAGGGUUGAUCCAAGGAGCUUAUAAUUGUUGCAUGGGGUGAUCAGGUUCCAGGACAGGAGUGUAUAUAUAUACAUAUAUAAAUAUACAGAGAGAGAGAGAAAGAGGGGGGAGGGGGGGAGAGCACGUGCCUGGUUAUAGGUUAAUAUAGUCUUUUCCUAAGUACUAGCUAUAUAUAUAUACAUAUAAUUUUGACCAAUACUGAGGGUCUCUAAAUAUUAAAAAGGGAUAAGUUACAAAUUGGGGGAGAGGAGCAUCGGCCACUAUGCAACAAAGUCCAAGAGGAAAAUGGCUGGGAGUCCAAUCCACGGAGUACUUUUCUUGAGGGUAAAAUUGAGAGGAGAGAGGACGAAGUGGAGCUAAAGAAGAAAAGGGUGGGAGGAAAGUUACAAAAAGAACUGGAAAACUAGCGCAUGGAAGGGAGUGGUUGGAGGAAUAACAGGUUGGGUGAUGCACUGUCAGAUUGUGCGCCAAUGCCCUCUCAUUAGCUUUGGAGAAGAUGGCGCCUCUUUUGGUGGGCUUCGCCAAUAUUCGGCUACGUACCAUUCAACUUUUUCUUUUCAUUUUAAAAUCUUUGCCUCCAUCUCUCUCUCUUUUAGACUUUUUAGUUGUUGCAGCCUUGGAAUGUUGCAUUUGGAUGAAAGAUGAGAGGACGAGAUGAGGACAAGCAUUAGAAGUGGGAAUAAUCUUAGGAGCUCAUGAUUCUUUGAUUGAACCUAAAUUAAUUUGUACGGUAAUGCAACACUUUGAUGAUACGUCUAUUGAAUACAUAACAAAAUGCUACCAGACAUUCCGAAUUGUUUGUUCCUUUUUCUUUGGGUUGACACUCAUACACGGCACGUAGACACGCGCCCUCCCCAAAUCACAAAAAACCGUCUCCCUGUUCAUGUUUUUGUCUGGGAGCCAUUGGAUGGGGAUGGCAUGCAGAGAUGAAAGCUGCAUUUGCCAUCCUUGAUGAUAGGAUUCCUUCCUUGCAGAAAAAAUCGCCCUCCCAACCUAACCCUACUUGAAUACAUGCUUACCUAGACUCUAAUUUUUAGUACGUAACUCAUACUUAGCAACCCUUUUACAGUGAUGCAGAUGUGUGAUAAUGAGUUUACCUGCAAUUUUCGUUUGAAAAUCCGACAUGUCCAUUCAUGUAAUGUAAUAGAUACAAACCAGAAAAUAGCUAAAAGCUAGAAAGUGAGCUACCAUGUAAUAGAUACAAACCAGAAAAUAACUAAAAACUAGAAAGCGAGCUAAAUCUUAUAUGCAUGUGUCACAAGAAAUCCUCCAUCAAAGGAGAGCCAACCGUAGGAAUUUGAGUAUAUCUUACCCUACAAAGAAAGAAACAAGUUUAAGUCUCUCUCUCUCUCUCUUUUAAGUUUGGGUUACACUUUUAAGCGAUGAUAUAACAUCCCAGCAGUGUCAAAAUCGCUAAGAAUUUUCUUCAGAAUGUCGUACAUUGAAGCGCGCAAGGAUUGAGGGGAAAUCUAAUCUAAUGGGGUUUCGCGAAGACAAGGCGUGCGUUUUGACAUUUGUUGGCAGUAUACAUCCGUCUUCAUUAGGUUUGGACAAUUGUUUUUCUGGGGAUGUGUUUUGGUUGGGGGGGCUGCCCAAAUGCUAAUUAUCUGUAUAAAAUUAUGAACCUAAAUGCAAGUAUAUGUAUGUGUUUAUGCGUUUGUGUUGCAGCAAAUCCCGCCAUUCUAUGGUUGAGUUUUAGGAACAUGCAUGACGAUCAUAUGUUUCUGGAGGCAUCCACCUUAAUGUGUAGCACUACUCAUUUGUCAAAUCUGAAAUUGUUUGAUCAAAAAGUCAGAUUUGAUGGACUAGCUGGCUAGCAUGUAAUGAAUUGUAAUAUACUCAAAUCAAACCAUUUCCAUCACUUUAAUUUCACAAAUUCAUACCCCCCCCCCCUCCUCCCCAAACCCUCCUCAUACAUAUCUAUUAUCAAAGCCAAAACUGAAAUACUAGCUAGUACUAUUUUGGCUUGCCCUAAUUUGGAAAUAGGACCAGUCUUCAAAAUCUUCUGGAAUUAUUUGAUUUAAAAGCAUAUGCAACACAAUUAGUUUAUGGACUACUACUUUACCUUUGAGCAAAUGAGGGGCCAACGUUGAAGAGUUUCCUUUGAUUUUUUUUUUUUCUCGAUUAAAAUGCGACAAAUACAUGCAACAACAACUCCGCUGCCACUAGCUAUUGGCUACUUAGGAAUAUCUUCGCAGAUUGCACCCUCUUCCAUAUAUAUUAGUGCUUUGCCACUUUUUUUUUUUCUUUUUCUUUUACACAAUUCGACCAAUUUGCCAGAGUACCAGAAGAAAGAACCACUAAAACCUUCCUUUUCAAAUUAAAGCAAAUUUCGUUGGCUUCGUUGACUGGUUAAUUCGCACGCUCCUUACCUUAAUUAAUUUCCAUGUUCUUGUGCUUUUCAUUCGCUUCUCAAAACUCAACAAAGAUGAGAGUGGAUUUGUGUUUAGCAUGUGAAAACUUCAAGGAGAGUUAGAUCGACCAAACCCAUCGGAAAUAUUUCAGUUUUAUUCAAAAUUUUUAAUACUGAAAUAAAUUUUAAAAAAUAAUUAAACUUUUGAACUGAAAUUGAACGGUCGAAGCGCGAAUCAGAGACUUUUCCGAUUUGCUCUCUAGUCCGGGUUUAAAAACAUUGACCAAAGUAUGCCUACUUGUUGGUGCCUUGGUGGCACAAGGGUAGAUUAGGUUUUCAUAAACAUAUUUUGCAAACAAAAAAAAAAUAGAAAAGAAAAGAAAGGUUUCUUAAACAUGGAUUUAACUCCUUAAAUUACAGAACCAACAUUUAAUUAAAUACCUGCCUCGUCAGUGGCUCAUUUGUUUGCCACUAAUGUUUGGUAACCUGGGUGAUAGCUCUUGACCUUUCCUAAAACGUAAAAUAGGCGUGGGAUUUUAUUCUCUGCUGCACUCGUAAUCUUAGCUAGUGUGUAAAGCCGCAAAAAAAUUAUUUUGGAGAAUCUGAUGUCCAAGAACGGAGAGUUACUCAUGCAUGCAGGAUUACAUAUGUAAAUGCUAUCCUGAAUUGGAAUUCUAAAUACAGUAAACGGGAGAAAUUUAUCAAAAUACACAUGCACGUCAAAUUACCUUGUUUUAUGGUAAUUAUCAUUUUCUUGAAAAAAAAAAUACUACUUCACAAAUUGAUGAUGUAGGUUAAUAUCCUCGUAUAUAUCUUUUAAGACAUAAGCAAAGGCAUCUAGACCUACCAUUUAGCUUAUAUAUCUAUAGAUUGGCAUUUUGUUCCCAGUAUUUGAAUCUCGACGCUGUUGUAAUUGAUGAAAGCAAAGGAGCUGCUUUAGAGAAAUGCUCUCCAUGCUCUAUGAUAAAAAAUUCUGCAUACUUGCCAAAACUUCGUUAGUUGUGAAGCCUAAAGGCAUGCAUGUCGUCCUGAGAAAACGUAUAUUCUGAUUUGUUUGCUCUGAACUGAGUUUGAUAUUAAUUUGCAGUAGAUCCUAAUUGUCAUAUUGUUUUCUAGGUAAUUGACUCUUAUUAGUUAUUAGUAACCUUCUUUGUUGUCUAAGUCCCGCAUUAAACUAAAAUUCUCAAAAACUUAUUAUCCCUUUCUGCUCUUUUAACUUGUGGCAUAGAUUCAAAAGACUUCCAAGCAGAUAGUGGAAUAUUGUAACUUUGAUUGACUGGUUAAAAAAGUAAAGAAGGAUAUAUGGUAGUCCUCCUCCUCCUCCCCCUCAAUUCUAUUAGUAAGUAAUAAUUCUUUAUCUCUCUCUCUCUCUCUUUCAGGACCAUUUUUUGUGUCCUUUUCUACUUGUCUGAACUGAACCAACCAAUACACCAGGAGGAUGAGGCUUGGGAGUACAAAACAAGCAAGCGACCAUUACAAUUAAAGCACGAUAAAAACAUGCAUCAAAGGAUAAGGGUAAAAAAUGGGACUAACCCCAUUGCAGACUGAUGAGUUGAUGUUUUACAGUGUCAUGUUAUGAAGGCCCAAACGAAUGAAACAUGUAUCCUAUCCUCUGAUGUUUGAGAAUAUGAUGAAAUGCAGGCCGCACUAAAAAAUGUAGCCUCUGCAGAAGCAAUAGUGUGGUUACAGAUUUGCACUGUUUAAGACCUGAGGCUGCAUAAAUUUUUUGGGACAAGGGACUACAGCAGGGAUCAUGGACGGGCCACAGUAUAUGAGUAGCAAAUUGUGGAAAUUUUGAAAUCUGUGACUAAAACAGGGAUCACAAGGACCUUUGUGUUUAACAUCUAGCUAGAUUAUUGCAAGUACAAUGGCUUCGAGAGUUUUCAACAGAGACUCUUGAUGUAUCGGCUUUUCACUCUAAAGAUGAUAACUAGCUUGAGCAGAACCUAAAUCUUUGUUGAUUGGAGUUCCAGGAAAUUUAUAGAUGAAGACCGAAUUCUCGUCGAUUCCACUUCUUUUUUCUUUUCUUCUUCUUCUUCAUCUUCUUCUUUUUCUUUUUUUAAUCUUUGAGAGGGAGCAGAGAGGGCCAAGUCUAAUGACAUACUUGGUGGUGAUUGGAGACGGAAACAAGAAUGGCCCAAAUUCAAUUCUCUGCUACUGAAUUUGAAAUGAAAGCCCAAAAGAGCCCAAGCUGCAAAAAGAAAAUCGGAAUCCAUCUUUUUGAAGAUACCUAGAUUAUCAUCAUCCUCUCUAGGAAGUUCCAAAAAUCAAGAAAUCAAAAAUCUUUGCCUCUAAAGAGAAUUAUUAUCAUUUCAGCUAUCCACCUCCCUACGACCAUCUUUUUGAUAUUUUUUGCAGUUUGUGUAGCCUCUACUCUCUAGUUCUUUCAACGGCCGAAGCAGUUUCAGUUUCAUUCGAGAAAAGCAUGCUGCAACUUGAUGUUUCUUGCUAUUUUAAGGGCCAAAAAAAAAAAUUCUUUAACUUGUCCCGAGUUAAGUCUUUACCCAAGUUUUCUGAAGUACAAAGCUAUGCAAGUCAGAGAUGGAUUGCUGUGGUACUCGGAAUUGUCCGGUAGUUAUUGUCAAAUUUCAAUUGUAAGAAAAUUUUGAAAGGGAUAGAAAAAAUUACAGUCUCAAAGAAUUUGUUCAAUAUAAUCUUAAUGUUAUUAGGGCAUAAAUGAAAGUCUGGAACAAUUUUUCAAGAAGAUAAUGCCGAACAAUAGGCAACAAAAAAAAAAAGAUUACUUUUAAACUACAACGAGACGACGUUGAAUCUUAGAUGAAUAGAUUAUUAUGAUGAAAACUAAAAUGAGAAACAAAUAAAUCAUCCAACCAACCCUCCCUCAAAUAAACCUUGGACUUGAUUAAUGCUAAAAAAAUCCAAAGGAAAAAUUUUUAAUGUAAAGAAGUUUAAAUAUUCUUGUAAGGUGGUGGGGACUUUCAUGUCACCUCACUUUAGUCUAAGUUGAAACUUGAAAGGCAUUUUUUAUUGCAUCUGUCUAAAUUUACAACUACUUUGUGAAGGGGUUAAUGGACGGCAUAUUAAUUUUCUCGCAAACUGUUGAAGGUACUCAAAAGAACUUAAAAUCUAAAUCGCCAAGUCACUUUCCCAAAUAAAUUAUAACGUUAUUGACCUAAACAAUAAUAUUCCAUUUGUGAAUUUUAUACCUUUCUAUGUUACGUGUAAUUGAUGAUAAUUUGUAGCAUAAAUUAAGCACAAGUCUUCAUGGCGCGCCUUGCCUGCUUAUAGGGUCAAGAAAGUUGUAAACGUAAGCUGACAUAGGCAGAGGAGGUAGCAGCACUGACCCCGAGUUACGUCAUGGCAUUUCUGAAUGAGAUGCACCACGACCCACCUUCUCUUCCUCUUCUUAGUGUUGUCUACAUUGAAUUUUACCAGUGUAGGUACAAUUUCGUGCGGUUAAACAUUGGAUUAAUCCACUAUAUGUUAAAUUUCAACAUAUAUAUUAUGAGUAAAUCUUAUAUACAUUGACAGUGCAUACACUAUUAUUGUUGGAUCCAUGACACAUGUGCAAAAAUUGAAUUUCAUAGUUGUCAUUCAUUCAACACUGACAGUGUGUAUAAUUGUCAUUCAUAUUAAUGCUAAUUUACUCAUAUUUUUAUGGUUGAGAUAUUAAAUUAGUUAUGAUUUUGUCAAUUUAUUGAUAUUAUAUGCCUAUAUAUGGAAAAGAAUACCUUAUAAUUUUUUUCUUUGGUUUUGCAAAACUCUUUAGACACGUAUUUAUCUUAAUAAGGAUUGCAAAAUUUCGUCAUAAAUUGAAGUAUCAUCCGUAAAGCUACACAGUAGGAGAAAAUUUAUUUUGUGAUUUAUACUCUUUGUUGAAAAAUGUUAAUGUCUGUGACAUGCAACGUGUUUAAAUACUUACUAUGCCGUCUGCUGUAGAGACGCAAGUAUUUACUACCUAUGAGCUAACCUACUAAUACUAAAUGUUAUACUCCACGUGUUUACAGGGAAGACCACCGAGCACUCGUUCAAGGAAAGCAAAUAAAAAAUGCUCUAGUCGAAUGCAAGCAAAUAGUACUAUGCUUCUCCUCUUGACGGACGACAAUAAAUGUUGGUACUACAGAGAUACCGAGCAAUCCUCUCUGGUUCAACUAGAAUUAAAGUCAGUCAAAAGUCAAAUUAAUUAAUUAGCAGUACAGUAGUAUUAUUUAUAUUUAUACUCCCUCCGUCCCACUUUGAUAGUCCUGUUUCUUUUUUCACACAGUUUAAGAAAAAGUAGUUAACUUUGUUGGAAAAGUAAAUUUAGAUUGCUAUUUUCUUAAAAUACCCUCAUAUUAAAUAUGGUACAACUUUAUGGGAACUUGAAUUGAUGAUAAAAAAAAGAAUCAACUCUCAUUAAAUGGGGUAGGUUUAUAGUAACAACUACUUACAUUGAAUAAGGGUAUUUUAGAAAAAUUAAAAUACAACUACAUUUUUCAAUUAGAAAGUGGACUAUAAUUUGGGACAGAUGAAAAAGGAAUACAGGACUAUCAAAGUGGGACGGAGGGAGUAUAAUAAACGGAAGCCGAUGUGACGAAAGGAAGAUGAUGCUCCCUUGGAACCAUGACGAUGACGCACUGCAUUUGCUGCUUCUCGUUUAAUUUCUUCAGCACAAGUCCAAUCCAACUAAUUUAAAACUAGCAGUGGUAGCGUUUCAAUUUCACGGGCUUCGAGGCGCUGUCUGUAACAUAUCUUUAGCAAAAGGCUGUGCAGACUUUUCUUUUCUUUUUUUUUGGUGGCUUGAAAAGUCGUGCAGAUUUGUUAUGUGGAUUCACACGUGAAAACGUAAGGAUUUAGGACUUUGGGUAAUUCUGUCGAUUAUCAAGAGCACAAAUAGUAGAGUAAUACUACUCAUGAUCUUCUUUUCUUGAUUCUAUUCCUUCUCCCUUUUUGUAUUGUAUUGAUUGCCCUCUUUAUUCCUUUGAUCGAUUGGUGACAGAGUCUAGGACCUGCUUUGCUGGAAACUGGCGGUGGAUAGAUCGUAGAAGAGGGGAGGGGAGGGAGCUUCUUGCCGUCUUGGUGGUGGUGGUGGGAAUGGGAUGACUACUGUUUGAGUCUUCUUCUUUCUUUAUUCGCUUUCCGUCGAAGCUUCGUACUGCGUUAAUGGACAUGAAAGCGAGUUACGCACUGAGUUUUGGGCACGUAGCUGUCUAACAAAAGUAAAAAGGGACCCGGAUCAAUUACAGUACAAUGGGUUGUGGGGUCAAAUGGUAGGGGGUGUUCAAGAGGCUUCUUGUAGAUGUAGACGGAGAAGAUAACGUCAGAGAAGAGCCGCGUCUGUAAAGGUGAAGAAUUCAAUUCAAUGACUCGUCGAGGCCCGUCGCAGCCGCCAGUCAGAGAGAGAGAGAGAGAGAGAGCUUUACAGUUUACUUUACACCCCAAAGAUAAAAAAGAACAGGAGGAAUAUUCCGGCUGCAUGAUGAUCAGUCCUGUGAGAUGUGCGUUAUCAGUAAAUAUGCUUUUCCACAAAGCAAAUUUGUGUCUAGAUCUGCUUUUGGUUGCACCCAUCAACGUUUGUUCUCACUACAACUUUCAAAACCCAAACGCGGAAUAUCGCACCUAACGCGAUUUCAUCUUAUCGAUUGACAACCUAUAAAUAAUUCAUAAAUUCGUUUCUUCUUCGUCGAUAAAAAAAAGGGAUAAUUUCAGAAACCUCAGGGGAGGUUUCUGACAAUUUCACUGACCUCCCCUGAGGUUUCCACAAUUACACUGACCUCCCCUGGCAGAACUUGGGACCCAAUUGCUGACAUCAUAUAAUGCAAAAUUACUAUUAUACCCAAGACAUUUUGUGUUAUUAUAGGACUAAAAUAUGAUAAGGCAGAUGGUGUUUUGGAUAGUAUUGGAUUGCAUUUCUAUUUAUUUAAUGUAUGGUUAUGAAAUUUGUAAUGAUAUUACUCUUGGAUUGCAGUUUUGGUUUGCACCUUAUUACUGUUAAGGUUUUAUAAAUGACUGUUUUAGUUCUUGGAUUACACCUUAUCUCCAAAAUUUGGGAAUUUACCCAAAUUUUCCAUUUUCUAAUAUUCCUACAAAUAUGCAAAAUUAUGCAUAUCCCUCAAAUCUACCCAAUAUUAAUGUUUUGUUAAACUCUAAAUAACAAAAAUAUGAAAUUUAAUAUUUAAAUAUAUUUUAAUACACACAAGUUGGACGGGUAACUAGUGUGUCAGAGAGUUGCCAUAAUCUCCUUAAACCCGCAUGCGGGUUUAAAGAGUAUUCGGAUAUUCUCAUAUGCACCUAUGCAAAUUGAACCAACCGGAUAUCUUAUCCGUAUCCCAUUUUUUUAAAUAAAAAUCUUAUAAAUUUGAAAAAUAAAAUCAAAUUUAGAUGUAUUAGGGUUUUAAAAAUAUUAUAUAAGUGAUAAAAAUUUUAUAAAUUGUAAAAAUAAAAUCAAAUUUAAAUAAUUAAAUGUUAUAUUUGCAUAAGAAAUAAUACAAUAAUCAUAAUAAUGAUAAUACAAUAAUAUUGGUGUAAUAAAACUGCCAUUAAUUUAAAUAUUUACUUAUAAUGCCCAAAGCGCCUAAUUACCAAUUUUUUCUUCUCGCGCUCAAAUAUAACAUUAACCCGCAUGCGAGCUAACCUUGAAAUAGAAAAAACACAGAAUCCCGCUUGCGGGUUUCAACGUUAUUAUGCAGGCGGGAUUUUAACCUGCUUGCUUAUGAACAUGUACCACAUUGCUUUGAAUUUUUGUGACAAGAGGAAAGCUUUGUCUGAUGAAUGUAUUUGUGAAAUGACCUGAGUGGUGGUAGAUGGGUUAAUUGGGUCGGUUGCGUUACCCAAUUGUUUAUAUCCAUAAGUAAAAUUUUAUGAUUCCCAUACCCAUCCCCUCACUUUUUCUUAUUUAUUUCUGAUUUUUAUUAGUUUUCAUUAAUUCACUAAUAUAACUUGUACACCUACCUUAAGGGCAUUUAUGGGAACAAAAUUUCCUCUCUUUCCUGAAAACACUUUUUUAUGUUUACUUUUGUGGUCAUGGGCUGAUUUUGUUACAAAAUCAGAAACCUCAAGGGAGGUUAGUGUAAUUGUGGAAACCUCAGGGGAGGUCAGUGAAAUUGUCAGAAACCUCAGGGGAGGUUUCUGAAAUUAUCCCUAAAAAAAACAAAAACUUACUUGGCCCAGGCCAGAAAUUAUAUCGGCGCAAAUGGUGCAUCAAUUCGCCGCCAAGGUAUGGUUGUCACAGCAUUAACUCUUUGGUUGGGAUAAAUUCGUGGAUUUCCAACAGUCUUCCAGCCUACCACGCAUAUAUAUAUAUAUAUAUAUAUAUAUAUAUAUAUAUAUAUAUAUAUAUCUACCUUGUAUAUAAAAAAAAAGUCAAGUUACUGUAGCCAACCAUUUUUUUGACACAUGUAUUGUAUAUAUCUUUGACAAGUGGACUUUGAUUAUUUUACCAGAAUUUUUCCUUCCCUUUUUUGAUUCAAUUGGGCUAAAGGAUUAAAAUAUUUUUUCUCCUUGAGAAAAUCAACUCCAUCUCUUCUUUUUCUUCUUGCAGUAACUACUGUCAUCCAUUACCUUUUUUAUUUUUUAUUUUUUUAAAACUAAUCUAACUAAAAUUGUUGCCUUUUUUUUUUUUUUUUUGUCAAGUUGAUAACUACUUAGCAAAAAGAAUUCUUUAUUAUUUUUUAUCCCAUUUUACAUUUUCUUUUCUUUCUUUUUUUUUCAUCUCUAAUCUCGCAUGUUUGCUCUAUUUUUUAUCAUAAUGUUAUAGCCAACUAGCAUUUGUUUGGUAAAUUUAUAGGAUGAUGUUUUAUUUGGUAGUUCUUCGUGGAUAAAAGGUAAAAUUUAAAAUAUGUAAAAAAAAUUUAGAAUUCAUUUUAUACCAAUGAUCAUUUUCUAUGAAUAAUAGAACAAAAAUUCAUUCUUUUAUUUUCUUCUCCUACGAUUUGAUUUCUUACUUCACAUUUUGUUUCCUUUUCUUUGUUUUUUGGUUACAUUUUGUAAUUAUCUACAAUUUUGUGUAUUUAUUUAGAAUAAAGAUAUAUCAUGUGACGUUUUCACUAAGAUAAAUCUAGUUAGACAUUCUUGUACCUCCGUUUUUCUCCAUUUCUUUCUUUUUGCAAUUACUUUAUGGCCUAUUAAAUUUAAUUGAAGGAUCCAAUAAUAUUUUGUAUAUAUUUAAACUAAAGCUAAUUUUUUUGUUUUUUAAUUACUCAAGUGUUGUAGUAUGCAUUGGGUUGGUAUACAAGAAUUGCAGUCGAUGGUGGAAGUCACAAUUGAGGCUUUCGGCCUAGAGUGUGACUUGACAAAAAAUUGUUAGAAAUUUCAAUUUUGAUUAGGAAGAUGUUUUUGCAAUAAAAAAAUAGUUCAAUUCUAAUUUGUAUAUGUAGACCAGGAAACAUGGCAAUUCAUAUUUUUAUCUAACUUUGCUAUUUAUAUCCAGGAACUGCAAGAUAAUGUUGUCACCUUUAAACAGAAUUUAAAUAGAUGAACUGGAUUCUUCUAUCAAAAGAAAGAAAAAUAUGAAAGUUUAUAGUAAGUUAUAUUGAUGUUGAAGAUUGUGCUAUGUUUUAGUAGCUUUCUAAACAUUUUCUCAUUAUUAAAGUACUAAAAGUAUUACGACUGCUUUUGAUUUAGUUUUAACUAAAACUAUACUACUAUUAAUACACCAAUGCACUUAUAGUGUAUUAAGUUUCUCUCCUUUUUGGGUAUCAUCAUCAUAGUGGUUCAAAAAUAUUUAUUCAAAUCACAAUAAAUAGAGAGGUUGACUUCAUAGAUGGAAUUUUUCUUCACAACAAAUUUUGAGAGAAAUUUUAUUUAUACUCCAUAUUGUGUUAAUUGUGUUCCUACAAUAAACAAAAACUAUACGAUAAAAAUAAUAACGAAAGUAUGAUUAACAAAAAUGAGAGUUCAAAUAAUAUUUGUCAAAUUUAAUUGCUUUAAUGCUCAAAUUUUCUCCUAUAUUUCUAUUCAUUCAUCAUGUGUUAAAAUAAUUUGAUGCUAUGCAUUCGACGGACAGUGGGCAUUUUGGUCAUUUUACACAGCGCGUAACUUUGAUUGCACACGGCGUAACUUUGUUUGCACAGCGUGUAACUUUAGUACAAAAAUUUACGGGCCCCACACACGUUGUGAAAAUUGAUAUACAACUUGUAUCUGGACCGCACAUUUUUUUGGCCAAAAUUUGGCCGUUGACUGUUCAGGUCCCUGCCCCUUGUCCGCAUUCGACUAAAUUUCUAGGGGGCCCAAACUGUGCUUUGCACAGUUCAAGUACCUCUAGUAUAUAUAUAAUAAUGCUGAUAACGAAGGACUUUCUUUUUUUUUUUCAUAUAGUAAUUGGAAUCGAUAGCUAUGUGGUGUGGAAUUAGCAGGUCAUCGGGCACUUGAGAUUCUCGGUGACAUGUUUUCUAUGUCAAUCCAAUGCCACCAAUAAUAUUGCGCUAAGUGUCAUGUAUUGGGUGCCUGUCGACCCUACAUACAUCUGUUCUACAAACAUGAAACGUUUUUCGAAAUAUAUAGACUGGAAACUAGAUGAAUCCGUGAAGAAAUAUGACAUGGGUUUUGGCUUCUAGAAGUAGAACUGACUUGUACAAGAAUCGAUGGUACUCACGAUUUCUUCUGAAAAUGGCAAAUUCAUACUAAAGGCAAAUAACUAAUUAUUCAAAGUCUUUUUUUAUUAAUUUUAUUUUUUUCCCCGGGGAUCACUGAAUUAACAGUAUCGAUUAUUAAAUUAGCAAUACAAAUAGCCUUCCUAUCACUUCUUGUUUGCGUCGCCAGUUAAUUUUUAGCAUCAAACUUAACAAGUAUUAUCAGUUUGCAAAUUAAAUUAAAAUUACUAAUUUAAGGAUUUAACACACACACACACACACUCACAUACUUUAUUAGUGUUGCGCCUUCUAUUACACGAACUGGCUAAAUGCACCUCAUGUGCAUAUGACAAAAUCCUACGAAGAACCACCUGUAUGAAUAUAUUUUAAAUCAUCCAAUAUGACGGACCUUUAUAAUUAAAGAACUCCUUAUGGAGGAGUAUGUACAAUUUAAAUAUGCUUGAUUAACUACAAGUAGUUUUUCUUUUUUUGGUCUUUGAACGAAUGUUGCUGUUGGCGUUUCAUUUCAUUAGGACGUCAUGCAGAGGACGGUUUAAGAUAAGGAUAUGGGGCACUACCGCCCUUCUUUAUUACGGACAUCAAAAGCAAAAGGAGACAUGAAAGAUUCUGCUUUCCUCUUCAUUCCUAAUUGCCUUUUAUGUUCCUCAUCCCCAUGUUAUCAUCUUCGGGCCUUUCAACAAACACUACUGACUAUGAAAUUUAUGUGCACUACUCGUGCAUGCAUAUAUAUAUAUAUGUACACCAUUUAGCUACUAGGCCCAUUCAGGGAGUAGUUUUCUGAGCUUUGAAUUUCUUGAGGAAGGUGCCAGCAGGGGCAGUGCUUUUCAAGUUGAUGUGUUCCUUUAGAGGCAUUUGACUGGAGGACCUAUGAAUUCUUAGUAUUGAUAAUUUUUUAGAGCGUUCUUUAAGUCAAUUUCUUGUCCAUCCUAAAAUGACAAUACUUAGAACAUCAACAUUACUUUCAUGUGUCCGUGAAAUUUUGAUAAAUUUAAUUUCUGACAUUGCAUUUGACAAAAAUUGAAAUCAUUUUAUGUGUAGGGCAUUAUUAGAAGAACCGAAGAAAGGCAAAAUAAAAAAAAAUAAAAAAAAAGGAGAAGGAAGAAGAAGAAUGUAACAUCGAAUACAAGAUCAAUGUCUUCCUACCAUCAUAAGAUAUGAAUUUAUGCAUUAAAAAUUUACAUUCAGUAGCCUCGUGGCAUGCGCCUAAGAUACUUGCUAGGUUUUGACAUAAAAUCCACCAUCUCAGUCGGAUAAUGAUUAUGCGUAGAUACUAGAGAAGAAGAUUUGAGGGUGUAAAAUGAUGGACGCAGGCAUUAAGUUAAUCAGAAUUCAUAAGACGUUAUCAUUGCGGGAGUACAUGAAUAGAUUAAAAGUCUUGGGGCUUCGCGAAAGUUUUUUGGUUUCCAGCCAAAAAACGAGAUUAAAAAUAGUGGGAUCUUCCAUUUUCUACCAAAACUUGCAGGAGAUUUUUUCUUUUCAAUUUUUUUUUUUUUUUUUUUUUUUUUUUUUUUGUUGCAGGAGGAUCAAACAAACGAUAGCGAUCGCAAUGGUCUAAUGUCUGCAAUGAUGUGGCAUGGCAGGCAGCCAGGCAACGUUGAACAAGAGUUACCUAUUUAUUAGUUACUUGCAUCUAUUUAACAAAUAAAUAGGUAAAGUCAGUGAAAUUUUACACAAUUUCAGAUGAAUCUGUUUGCCUAUAGUUACUCAAGGAGUAUAACUAUGAUUGAGCGAUUGAAAACUACAAAUUAAAAAAGAGAAAUUCUAAAAUCAAAUACCAAUAUUUAACGUUUAUUCUACCUCUUGUUUUUUUUGGCACUAGUUUUAUUAGUAAGUGUGGUCGAUGUUGCUUUUGUCUAAAUCCAUGACUUUCUUAUAAGAUUUGGAUCCACGUAAGAUUUGUUCUUAAAAUUUAGACGCAAAUUUUGUGAAACUAUCAUCAUGGGUGUGGAUAAAAUCGAGAUAAAGUGAAAGGUUUAAUUUAAAACUUGGACUCAAAUUGUAAACAAUAUCAUGGGUACGGUCUAGAUUACAUUCGGUUGACAACUUGGCAUGCCUGCUUGAUGAUUGCGUAGGCAUUGCUCAGAAAAGGCUUCACCUAUCAAAUUUUGGGUUUAAACAAUAAUAGUAUGAAAAUAACAAAAAAGUUAGUUUAUAACUGCAAUUAAUCCUAUCAAAAUGUAACACAACAAAGAGUUUCGAUAAUGAAAGGUAAGCAAAGGGGAGGCAGCGACCGCGAAGUAGACUCAACAGUGCAUAAAUGUUAAAAGGAUAGAAACAAACUAGAGGUUGUUUAGAAUGCUAAGAGUACGCAAUAGUACGUACUGCUUACCAAACUUGUGGAUGAGACAUGGAUAGCAUAAGAUAUGUAGUAUUAAUCUAUAUAUAUAUAUAUAUAUAUAUAUAUAUAUAUAUAUAUGUAGUGUAUAUAUUAUUAUGACUAGAUGCAUGACAAAUAUAUAAAAUUUGAGCAUCAAAUUUAAGUUUAAAUUAAUUAGCAUGCAUUCAACAAUAAUAGUGUAUACAAUGUAUUAAUUCAUGUUUUUUGGCAUAAACUCAUAAUAUUUGGUGAUUGUAUUUGGCCUGACUAAUUUGCAGUCGAGCAUUGUUGGAUGGCUUUUAGCUCCGUGAACGUUAUUUUCUCUGUUUAUAAGAUUCGAAUUCAAAACCCUACUUAAAAAAUAGGGUUAAUUUUAAAAACCUUCCUCGAGUUUUUUGAUAAUUUCACCUAAUAUUCUUGAAAUUUUUAAUAUUAUCCUAACCUUCCUUGACCCUAUAAAAUGACCAUAAUAACCUUAACAUAUUAAUAUUUUUUUCAUGCAAUUACACAAUCUGCUCCUAAUCUUAUGCUUAAGAAUGUAUUUCACACAAUUAGACAUUCAAUGAAAGCAAAAAUAGGAUUCACUUAUGGAAUAACCAAUUAUGUCCUAAACACAAUUUUUAACAUAUUACAAAUUAAUUUUAGUUUGACUUAGAGAACCUGGGGAUGAAUAAAAGAAAAUGCAAGCCAAAAGUUUAAGAAAGACUAGUCUAGUUUCAGUACUCCAAUAUUUGAGAGAUAUGGUGUUAUAUUAAUGCAAUUGGUAAAAUUUUCUUGAGUUUAACGGUGUUGAAUUUUUUUUUUUUUUUUUUUUUAGAUUGAGGCUUUAGAAUUGAGGAACCGAAGGUGAUAGUGGUCAUGGAAAUAGUGGUAUCGAUUUGGGAUGUGAAAAUAUGAAAGGUUUAGAAUAAUAGAUAUGAUGGUUAGAAAGUGAGUUUGUGAUGUUGUGCAUGUUUCCACUUUUUUAAAAAGAAUUUUAUGAGAAAAAUAAAAUGAACUUCACAAUUUUAAGAUGGCACUUUAAAAUUUUGACCAUUGAAUAGUUUUUGUUACGAAAAUGAUAAUUUUAUGGGAGAUAUAUAUAAUUUUUGAAACCUCAAAGGAACUAGGUGCAAAUAUAAAAAAUCUCAAGAUAGGUUUCUGAAAUUAUCCAUAAAAAAAAAAAAAAAUAUAUAUAUAUAUAUAUAUAUAUCAAAAUCCUUGCCGCCACGUAAAGUACAAAUGACCCAGGAGCAAUACAGCAAAGACGUUUGUUUGUUGCAAUUUCGUUUCGUGGAUGGAACGACGAAGGAGAUGAGAUGAGCGGCGAGCAAUGUCCCAAUUUAACCAAUGAGUCAACGUCCAAUCCAGUCGACACGCGGUCUUCAACAUCUACUCCCUUUCUCUGAACGUAUUUACAAGUUUGCCAUUUGAUCCUUCCUGCCGCCUUCACGUACGGAUGGCGCCCACGGUUUCAUGGAAAAUCCGGGGAGUCAGCACAGAUUUUCUAGGCCAGCCAGCUUACCUGUCUGAAUUUUUUUUUUUUGUUUGGGGGAGAAGUGGAUGAAUUUUUCUGGUCAAAUAAAAUCUUUUGUCAUAAGGUCUCAGCUGCAUAUUUUGGAGUGCAGCUAGUAGCACUUCAUUCUUAACAAUUAAUCACUUUGUCAAAAACAGUCUGGUAAGCACGUUUUAGUCAUUAUAGUGUCCGUGUACAGCUUUUCUGGAUCAGUAAAGUCUAAUUCAUUUCAUAACAAAAAUUAUUGAUUUGAUGAAAACAAAAUCACCAAAUGUAAUCUCAAUAAGCCGUAAGACCAUUUUAAUACUCUUUUGCCUCUUUUUCAGUCAUAAUUUUACCUUUUAAAAUCAGUUUCUGUGUAGAUGUGAAACUUGUCAUUCAGCUACAAUAACAAAGAAUCAAACUUGGAGAAAAGAGAAGCUUAAAGUAUAUAGUCUCGUCAACAAAAUCUUUAAUGAAAUCAAGGCCUGGUUUUGCAAGCAAGUUUUUGAUCAAGUUUGUCUGUUACAAGUUUUUUAAUAACUUUGGCUACAAUAAUCUCAAAAAAACUUCUCAAAAUUUUUAAACUAUACAUUUCAAAAUAUCCAAAAAUUUAUGUACUUCAAAAAUUUUAUCUAUAAUUUCUACAGUAAAAUUUUAGACAAACACCAAAAAAAUCCACUUGUUAAACGGGGCCAAGUUAGUAUGUGACACAGGUUAUUGAAAGUAUUUGACAUUUUCUUAAUAUGGCUGGUGUUGUAUCUGGUCUAGUGUAUGAGAAACAAAUAAUAAUAUAUUCAUUAAUACUGGAAUUCUAAAAUGAAGUUUGAACUAUUUUUGAAGAAAACUAAAACAACUGACCCAUUUUGUUGAAUCGUACCAUUAUUUGUGAAACCUUUUUAAGUAAAUAACUUGAAUACAUGUUGAGAUUUUCUUUAAGUUAGUAAUUAUCCACAGAUAUAACUGUCUUCAAAUGUAAAACUUUCCUCCUUAAACAUUUUGAUACCUCUUAUACUACGAUUCUAUUCCAAGCACCCAGCACUUUGUUGCAUAAAAUUAGAAGAUUAAUUCGGUACCUGGCAUAUGUAUGGUCUUAUCUGUAAUACUUAAUCAUGAAAUGCGCACACACGACAAAAAGUACAGAACUUGAAACACGGACAAAUUAGGUAAUAAACAUGAUGAUACUGUGAUAAAAAAUUCAAUGCUUGCAUUAGAAAAGACAUUUUUUUGGCCCACUAUAAAUCAUAAAAAUGUCAAAACCAAAUGCAGCAUACGAAUGGGUCGAAAGUCAAGGUUCAACUCGUGUCUCUUUUUCAACUACUCAGCAUGACUUUCUCUUAGAUCAAAUAAUGUGCAUGUAUUUAUGCGAUGGUGAUUUAAUAUCUCGAAUUUUUUAUGAUCCAGUUGAAUAUGCACCUUCCAUGUAGAUUAAUAGUACAUGUACAUAAAUGACGAUUCAGUUGGAUCAGUGAAUUAGUAGUUGUUUUAAAUAAGCGGGGUGAUUGAUAAAAAAGAAAAAAAAAAAAGUGAGUGGUACCUGGGGUUGCAAACGAAUCGAGCCGCUUGCGAUUGGUCGAGCUCGAACUCGAGCACAAAAUAUUAUGCUCGUUAGCUCGUGAGCCGGCUCGCGAGCUCGAGUAUAUAUAUAUAUAUAUAUAUAUAUAUAUAUAUAUAUAUAAUAUUUUUUUUAUUUUUUUAUUUUCAGCAUAUAUAUAUUUUUAUUUUAUGUAUAUAUAUAUUUUUUAUUUUUUUAUUUUAAUAGUAAAAUUACAUAUAUAUUCUUAAUAUUUUAUUAUUUAUUAAGAAAAAAAUAUUAUUUUAUUUAUUUUUUAAAAAAUAAAAUAAUUAUUUUUUAUUUUUUUCGAGGUCGAGUUUUAAAUUACUGGCUCGCUGAGCUCGAGUUCGAACUUGAUAAAAUUUAGUCGAGACUCGAUUGAAUUAGCCCAAAAUUCGAUUCGAUUCGCCUCAUUUGCAGCCUCAGUGGUACUAGAGCUCAAUAGCAGCGCCAGGGGUUUUUUUUUAAAAAAAAAAAUUUUAGAAACUACCACCAUUUCCCUUGUUCCGCACCGGAAUGCCUAAUCAUACAUACUCAGUCACUCACUCCCACGUUGAAUAUCGAAUAUUCCAUAUCGUAACGCGCACCUGCAGAGGAGCUUUUAAAAAUAAAAAGUCGGUCUCCUCUGUACCUGCCCAAUUCCCGUACUGUUUUACUGCUACUUUUUACCGCCACUACUGCUGCUUAGAAGUCUUGGAAGUUGGGGCUGGAAAUUGUGGCAGUGUGCAAUUUGGCCUGGAUGGAACCCAACCAAAUAAAUAGCACCCAGAUUUGCUGGAGUUUAUUAUACUAACACUACAAGUACUAAUAUACCAGUAGUAGCGCUUGAGUACUAGAGUUUGACCUGGAUUUGAGAAUUACUCAAUUCAAUUAAAUACUUCGAAUACAUGCAUGAUCAAUCGAAAAAAGAACGGAGAAUAACCUUUGGUUAUCUCAAGACUAUGUAUACAAGAACAAGAUCUUCAACUCUACUAAAUAAAAGCAGCAAGAUGAGGAGGAAAAUUGGAAAGAAAUCCAAAGGGAAGAGAGAAAACGGAGUUUGGAUAGAGUAUUAUUUAAAAUAUUAUUUGAAAUAAAAGCACUUUUUAUGAUGUGAUAUAUGUGAGAUAAAAUUGUAUAUUUUUUCAAAACAAGAUUAUUUUGAAAAUAAACUCAAAAAAGAGAUCAAUAUAGUUAUAUUUUUUCAAAAUAGGAUUAUUUUGAAAAUAAACUCAAAAAAGCAUCACUGUGGGCAAAAUUUUUUGGGAUUGAAUUUUGGAAAUAUGUAUACAUAUAUUUUGAAAAGAUUGGAAAAAAAAAACCUCGUGCUUUCGUAGUUAUUAAUCUAUAAACUGAAAAAAUUCUAGUUUCGGUCCGGUCUACACGUUUGCGCUGUGCGGUUAGCCAAUAAAUGACCGGUAUCUGGUACUUGAUGAUUACUAAUUCUAGCAUUUCCUCUCGCCUUCCUACCACUACUAACUACUAAGUACAAAGCCCACCUCCACUCUGCUGCAGCGUCAUGUAUACUGCAUCAACACCUCCCUGAUUCUUUGUUUCUUUCUUCUAGCUGCAUCGAAGUCCAACGUCAAGGGGUCGCUCUCUUUCGAUUGCUUCUUGAAACAAACAACCCCCACAAAAAUAAAAGGCCAAAAGGAAAACAGAAGCGUAAACCAUUGGCCUUUCAUCAAUCUUAGAUACAUAUCACAAGACCCGUACAACUUGAAGCCUCUCAAAGGUACAGAAUGGUUUCUUUCAUUUGUGAUUGCUCCUUCUUGCAUCAUAUCAUAUCCAAAAGGGAUCCUUUUGCUUAUUCUUUGCAUGCGUUUGACUUUAUUGAGAGCUUAAGCAUUAGUCUUAUUCGUUAUCUGGGUUGAUGAUUGAUCUCAGGAAAUUCAGUCUAAAGAUGUGGAUUUUUUUCCUUCUUUUUUUGGUGUUUUUGGUUUUGGGUUUUGUUUGCUUCUGUUGAUUUGUCUUUUCUACUUGCUCGUAUUAGUCAGUGAAUGAAGACCUAACCACUGUGAAGUCUUGGUUCUUCAUUUUGUUUCUAUAAAGGCUAUAAAAUUCUUCUCCUUCUUGUUAUUACCAAGCACGGCCUCUGAUUUUUUGCUGGUAAAAUAGAGUUCUGUGUUUGACUUUGGAUCCAUCUUGCCCUAUUUCCUUCCUUGCUUUCGUUCCUGAAUCUUUUUCUCAUUUCUUUUAUGUCAAAAUUAUCUUCUUCCAACUUUUGAAUUCGGACUGAAUUUAUGGGAUUUCUCACAGGUUUGGUCUUGAUUUCUAUCUUAGAAUGCUCCGAAGAGUACAAAGCGAAAGGGUUGUUGGUUCUUGCGGGGUUUCUUCUCUGUAAAUUGGUUAAUUGCAUGUCCUAAAGGUACUUUAUUUUCCUUUCAUGAAUUUUUGGUUUCCAAUUUUCCGCUUGUAUGUUAUUUUUACUAUCAAAAUGGAUUACUUGUUUCCUUUUUCUUAUUACUUCCUGGAAAAUACUAUUCUUUUGUGGUUAGAUCGGUAGUAAUCCAAAUUAGGAUUAUUGAGGGCUGACUGGAAGGUUAACAGGAUGGAAUGGAAAUCGGUUGGUUGGUGAGGAGUCUCAGCUUUUUGAGGAAAAGGUGAAAGGAGAACUUUUGGACGUCAUAUGCCUACUUUUUUGGAAGAUUCCUACUCAUUUUCAUCAAAGCAUCUUAAUAAAGAAGGCCUUGGGAAUUUCUAAUGGCAAAGAGAAAUUAUAAGGCAUCUAGAAUGAUUGAACUCCGAGCCACUCAAUUGCUGGCUGUUUGCGGAUUUCUAGUUCUUUGACCUUAUUGCUAACAUAUUCAAUGAUCUCAAGUUUAAUGAGCUUGUCAAAUACUAUUUGAAUUUCCCCUGCUUCAGAGCCUGUGAUCAGUUCUGCGUAUCUUAGUUUGAUAGUUCACAAAAAUUUUUCAAGAUGUCCUAAGAGUGAUUUUUAUCUCGGUUUGGUGGUAAUGCUACUCUUGUUAUAGGGAAUUGUUUCUCAAAUUUGAAGUAGUAAUUAUCCUUGUUUGGUCGUUUGUCAUAGAAUCCUAUAUUUCUUGCGCCAGUAGAUAAGUCAACCACAUAUUCCACUUUGGGAUGUGAUGCUUCUACAUCAAACAUAUCGGGUUGCCUAAUAAGGUGCAUAGUGGAAAGAUUCCAGAAUCAGAGGCUUGACUACUUCACCUUUCGAAGUUAAGGUUGAGCUAGAAGCAUUUUUUCAAAUUGAAUUUCUUUAGGAGUCUGAGCUUAGUUGGAGUUGGGUGAAUUGUAUGUUCCCCUUUAAACUUGUUAUCUUAUGGUGUGCCUUUGAGAAGAUAAUGGGAAAUUCAUGUUACCUGCAAGAGCGGCAAUCAUAAGACAUCUCUAAUGGGCAUGGUAGUAUCAGCUGGAUUGUCAAACUCUUUAUUUGUCCUUUCAUCUCUUUCUCUGAUAUAGCAGAACAGCCGCAAAUGUCACCGCAGAUAAACAAAAAGGCCCUCUUUUGUUUCUUCAGAUGAUUAGACAAGGGGCAUUUGUAAUGUACCUUGCAUUUAUAUUUUCAUCUUCAAAUGGUAGAAAAGUCAAAUCUGAUAAAGGAACAAGUCCUUGUUUAAAACCAAAAAAACAGGUUGGUAAAACUGGUUACAGUAUUGUCUGCGCUUUAUGGGGCUUAUGCUAAGUGGUCUUAUUAGCUUUCAGUUUAUUGUGGAAAUACUUUCUAUGAGAGUUAUGAGCCUUAUGAGGCUGAAGUUCUUACUGUUGUUUCUUGCAAGCUGAAGGUGGAUUAUCCCAGCAGACAUUUUAUCUCCUUGUAAGAGAGACAUAUGUAUUCCCUUUCCUGUGGUUAGGAUGAAACGAAUGCUGAGUUAGAAUGACAGAUGAGGUUAUUCAGGAGACUGGAGGGAACAUUUGAUUUGUUAUUUGCAUCAUAUGUUGCAUCUUAUAUUUACUAAGAUUUAAUAGCUUGCUGUUUACUUUGCUUGCCAAGUCUUGAUUGUGACUUUUGUUGAGCAAGUUGUUUGACAAAUUGGUCGCUUUUCUUUUUCAAUAGGUUACCUUUGCCUGUGAUUACCCUACCCUGACUUGUCAUAGCUGAGCCAAUUCAUUCACUUACUCUCAGAUGCAAGCAUCACAGGCUUCUCAGACUUCAGAAGCCAUCCACAUGUUGUACCAUCAACCCUUUCAGCAGAUCGAGUCAUAUAACUUGUCCCCUUUCCAGGUAUUGAACAGCAAUGUCUGUGCUGAUAAUAGCAGCCAAGGGGCCCAGGUGUCAUUUCAAGCUUGCAACGAACAAUUUGCCACCUUGGAAUCCUUACCAAUGACUGAUUAUGUUAACAGCGAUUCACCUUCUACUGUGAGCAUCUCAUCUAAUAGAAGUCCUUUCUCACCACAAUGUUCGCAGUCCUAUAUGUCAGAUGUCCAUCACUCUUCUGAUAAUACUUAUGGUUCACCAUUAAGUGGGUCCUCUGGUGUUGAUGAUAGCAAUGAAUUGAGGAAUGUGCUGAGAGAGUUGGAGAUCAAAUUAAUGGAAGAGUCUGAAAUUGAUGACAGCAGCUCUUGCUCCGUCAACAAUGUAGUGGGUCAACCUGUUUUCUCAACAAGGGGGAACCGAGUGGUGCAAAUGGCCCAUACCAUGGACUUGAAACAAUUACUUCUUGCCUGUGCUGAAGCAGUAUCAAAUGCUGAGAUUUCCACUGCACAAGGUUUGAUGAAUGAGUUAGAACAGAGGGUUUCAAUCUCUGGGGAUCCUAUUCAGCGAUUAAGUGCAUAUAUGAUGGAAGGGCUUAGAGCACGGUUGUUGUCCUCAGGAAGCAUAAUAUACAAAAAACUGAAAUGCAAAGAACCAACAGGUCCAGAAUUAAUGUCAUAUAUGCAUUUUCUCUAUCAAAUCUGCCCAUACUUCAAGUUUGCCUACAUGUCUGCCAAUGUUGUGAUUGGUGAAGCUAUGGAACAUGAAAACAGAAUACACGUCAUUGAUUUUUGUCUUGCUCAGGGAAGCCAGUGGGUUUCGUUUAUUCAGGCGCUUGCACAUCGUCCUGGUGGACCUCCAUACAUUCGUGUGACAGGUGUUGAUGACUCCCAGUCUGUUCAUGCCCGAGGCGGAGGACUUGAUGUUGUGGGUCAGAGGUUAGCCAACGUUGCGGCAUCUUGUGGGGUGCCAUUUGAAUUCCAUGGUGCGGCUAUCUCAGGAUGUGAGGUAGAGCUGGAAAAUCUUAAGGUUCGACAUGGAGAAGCUCUGGCUGUUAAUUUUCCUUACAUGCUGCACCACAUGCCUGACGAGAGCGUAAACACAAUGAAUCAUCGAGACCGCUUACUGAGACUAAUAAAGAGCUUGUCACCCAAGGUAGUCACUCUUGUUGAGCAGGAGUCAAACACGAAUACAGCCCCAUUCUAUCCUCGGUUCUGUGAAACGCUGGAGUACUACACAGCUAUGUUUGAGUCGAUAGAUGCUACCCGACCGAGGAAUGAUAAACAGCGGAUAAGCGCGGAGGAGCAUUGCAUUGCAAGGGACAUUGUCAACAUUGUAGCAUGUGAAGGAGCUGACCGGGUAGAAAGGCACGAACUUUUUGGUAAGUGGAGGUUGAGACUUACGAUGGCGGGAUUUGUGCCUUGCCCUUUGAGUUUCUCAGUAGGCAAUGCCAUCAGGGACAUGUUGAAGGAGUACAGCCCCAAUUACAGGCUUGUUGACAGGGAUGGUGCACUCUAUCUUGGAUGGAAGAACAGAGCCCUCGCAACUUGUUCCGCUUGGAGAUAGAUCUCACCAGCAAUUGCUGCGUGAAAUGUAUAAAAAUUUUGCCUAUCAAUUCGUGCCACUUUGUACUGCCAUUGUUGCUGUCACUUGUACUUAUUCUCUAGCUAAGACUAGCUAUAUUUCUUUAGGACCUUCCUCUUGAGAGUCGACGACUACUUUGUACAUGUAAACUAGCCAGCAUAGGGAUUAAAACUUGAAAUUGUGAGCUCAGAACCUGCACUUCUUGGUAAAGGAAGAGACGUUAGUGUUUCUUUUACCUGCUUCGGGCGUGCGUUAGUCCUAAUAGUUAGGUUGUUUGACCAGGCAUAAUCUCUGUUAGCCAUUUCUUUUCUUCUUUUUUUUCCCCUUUUUGCAGACUUUGGCAGUUUGUGAAUUACCGAGGAUUAGGCCCAAUUUUAUCUUGUUCGUCACAUGUUGCCAUGGAUUUUGAAAAAGUCUCUCAUGUAUGAGAAAAUCCAAUCACUUCCCCCCCCCCCUCCCCGCCCGGGCCCAAGAUUUGCUUCUUCAAUACCUGAAUCUCAGGAGUUAUUCUGAUAUUGAAAUAGAAGUUUGAAUCUAAGUCUAAUACAAACUCAUAUUCACGUUCACAGGGGUUGUUUGGAUUGUAGUUUUUUAGAAAAGGAUUUUUCACAUUUUCUAUGAACACAUUUUUCAAUCAUUUUUUUAUCUAAUAUAUAUCAAAUUGCUAUAAUACAUUUUUCUUCAAAAAUUUCAAAAGAUAGCAACCCAAAUGGGAAUAUCAUGAAAACGUUUCCAAUUAUCAAAUUUUUUUCCUUAAAAACAAAAAUUUCAAUCAUAGACAAGUUUUAUGAGUUUUGUCAGUUGCCACUGCCACGCCAUCCGGGGACAUAAAAUUUAUUUAGGACGGAACAUGAAAAAAUUCAUCUUUGGGGAUUCCAUUAAAUUUUAUGGCACGAAAUGGAGGAAAUAUGAUGAACCAUUUUAAGUCAAAAAGAGCACCGGUGUCACCUGCGCUUAUUCUGUUUGACCUUCCCUGAAACCAGACGGCUAAAUUGCUUCCGAGUCCCAAGAAAAACGACAGAAAUGAUGACAUGAAUUAAUAAGAUACCAUAUUUGGUAAAUCCCCUCGAAUUUGCUCCAUGAUAGUGCGAGGUGCCAAACAAGAACUAAUGGUCUGUUUGUUCAAAUGAACCCCCUUUUCCCAAAUACGAGCAGCGUGGCCAAUUAGAAAAUUGAGCUUGGGGCAGCACCGGGACAGUUGCGUCACUGGAUCAAUCUGACAUUCUGGCUUCUCUGCCACCAGAGAUUAAUAAUGCCCCCAAGGUCAAGGUGAAGGGUCCGUUCCAAGAAAAAACCAUACUUAGGAUAGUCAUAUCAGCCAUCAGCAUCAUUUCAUUCCAGUCUGACACCGCUCGCUGAUUUGUCUCCCUGUGAAACCUCGUACCAACCCUCUAUUAGGUAUGUCACACAUUGGCGCGUUUAUUCAUUUUUGCCUUUUUCUUCUUGUUUUUCUUUUUUUUUUUUAAUUCAUAUCUUCCAAAUUUUAGAAGAUGGCUAAUGAAGGUUAUCCAUAUUCAGUAAAAUGUCGCGGCCUAACCUGCAUAUCUAGUCUAGUAUCCACGCGCGGGUUUGGCAUAUCUGUUUAUAUAUUUGAGGGCCGCCAGCAAAGCUGAUAUGGCUUUUCCCCCAAAAUUCAUGAAAUUUUCUGGCUCGAAAAUGAAGAUGAACUUUUGGUUUUCUCUGGCUUUUGCCUGUUUUCUGAUUUUACCAAUGUGAUUCUUUGUAUAAGUUGUUUCAAUUGUAAUUAUAGCUUCCAAGGAAUAAGGCUGAAAAUUGGUGCAAAGCUAUACAUAUGGUGUGUAAUGAAAUUCAAGUAGAUAUACAUGUGCCAGUGUAUUCUUCCUACCCUGAAAAGCAAUUUUUUUUUAAAGGGGGUUUUUUUUUUUUCAGGCAAAAGAUUGUGUGACUGUGUGUGUUGUUUAUGAGUGGGCGUGGAUGAUAGUGCAGGACUAAAAAUAGUGCCUGAGUGUGCGUUUCUACUCGCCAAUGUCAGUCGGGCUGUUUUUUGUUCUUUUCUACAGAUCAGCCUGAUACAUCAAAUUCAAGAAAAAUUGAUAUUCUUGUCCAAAUUAUUUCGUAUAUUGAACUAUUGUAUUUUUUCAGUAUUAUUCCGCACAAUGCCUUUAAAGCUCUGAGGGAACAGAAAAGUUCCUUUUAGUUUUGCAGGUGAGGCCUGACCGUCUUGAAUAUUUCAUGACAGAUUAUGAUAUCUUUUUGUAUGGAGCAUUACAAACAUUAUAGAAUUGGGAAACCUCAUCUACAAUAUUUGCUACCGAAAGCAGUAAGUUUAUACUUGCAGAUUAUCAAAAACGUGAUGAGCUGAUGGAGGGAUAGUUGCAGGAUAUUGUAAGAACGUUAAGGUGAACUUUUGGAUGAGUUGACCUUCAAGAAGCCGUUCAAAUUAAUGGCGACUGACGAGUCACAAGAGUAUGCAGACUGGCGUGCUAGACAAAAAGAACGAGAGAGGGAACGUCGCCGAAUGCGAGACAGACAAAGGAGGCAGUCUAUGAGUCUUGAAGAGAGGGAGAGACACUUGGCUAGACGGCGUAGAAACUAUCAGUUGCGAAGACAAAGAGCAGCCAACGCUCAAUUGGGCUUUCAGCAAACACAUGUUAACUUGAGCAAUGCGAGUAGUGAAGUUGAAUCGGACGUGCAAAAUGAUAAUCUUGCCCUGGUUUCCCUUCCAGAAUUUACUGUCCAAUCUAAUUGUGGAACAUUUGAAGAUGGAUUUGGUGGAGCAUAUGAAAAGCAUGCUUCUGUCAUCAAGUUUGAUGGUAAAUGUUCUGUUACUUAUUGCGUCUAAACAUACAUGUAUGACAAGUUAAAGGGGUAAAAAGCAGACUGUUAGUAGUAUAUCGGCAUAUGAUAAAUGUUUAUUCUCUGUAUCUUUCUGUAUUGGCGCAUCACAUAGUUAUGCUACUUGCUUGUGAAUCCAAUAGGCGAAACAACUCUACAUGAAUCACACAAGUAUCCAAGAAUUCUGCGCUUCAACCGAAUAAAACAACUCGCGCGAAGACUGAAUUCUCCUGUAGAUAAAACCGGUACAGACGGAGACAGUCGACAAAUUGGAGCAGCUGUGACAAACGAGGAAAUAGUAAAUCCACAUUGUAAGUGCAGAAUCAAACUUUUUUAGCAUUUUUUUGACCUGCCAUUCCAUGUCAGGAUAAGUAUAGUUUAAUGUACAAAGAUCAAGGCCUGAACGUGUUUUUCACGGUUUAUGGACUAGUUUAUGUUUGUCGUCCAGGCGUUACUGGAAGAAAGAUACGGUUGAUUCAUGUUAAACAUCUUGCACGAGCUCUACAUUCCAAUGUGGGAAAAACUCUUCAGCAAAACUAAUUUUAUGCAGACCGCAAGGUAUUGUUGUUAAAUAGAUUUUCUGUUGCACUGACAAAAUUUCCCAAAACUUUUUUGCAAUAUUUUUACUGACUCGCUCACUGUAUUGAAAUUUCUUCCCAGGACAAAGACAAUGUCAUAGAAAUGGAGAUUGAUGAGAUGACAGCAGGUAUUAUUACAUUUUGGAAUGGGCAUUAUUCAAAGGAUUCCAUCUAAAGGGAAUAUUAGAUUUUAAAAUUACCGUGCAUGCAACUUUUAGCUUAGACUUGUUUCAGCAAAAACUGAUGUAAUCACUGAUGAGGCAUCCUUCUUGGAUAUCAAAGGAGUCCUGUCAUAUUGACAACUUACACAAUAAACUUCGGGAUGUGCCUCCAUUUUGCUCAUACUUGGUUACUUUCUGCAAUCAAACCUCAAAAUCAGAGAUUUGUUUGGUUGAAUUCGAUGCUUGUACAUUUAUGUAACUGUUUUUUUGCGUUUCUGAGUUACAUGGCAUGCAGAACAAUGACAUAGGAUAUAUGACACAGGGACUUUUCUUUUCUGGACUGUAAUAUUUCCAAGUUUUGUUAAUUCAUCUGCUGUUGCCCUCUCCCUUGCCAACAGUCUAUUCAGAUUGUUCAUUUUAGUGAUGGUGUUGUUGUAUGUUAGAACCUCUGGGGCAAGCAAAGAGAGAAGUGAUGGUUAGUCAAACCCCCGUCUUCCUAAUUAAUUUCAAGAGAAGAUGCUACGGUAGAAUUAAGUAGUGACAGAGCAAAGUCUUGUGGCCGCUGGGGAUCCAACUUGUAAAAACGAGCUUGUGAAAUUUUCUUUUGGCUUCUCCAGACAUUUUCAUUACUAGAUUUUAACAUUGUCCAUAAGACUUGAUCCAAGGGACCCUGCCUGCUAUAGAGUACAGAUUUGUGCCUCCUUCUUCUAAAUUUGAGUGCUUAACCAGCAGUGCACAAAUGACGAAAUGAAAAAAGAUCUUCAAGUCAUAAUUAAUACAUAACGAUUACUAUUUGGUUUUACCCUUUCUUGAUAACAGUUUGUUCCUUUUUUUUAAAAAUGAAUUCGAGCAAUCUUGUUUAGGCUAGGGAUGUUAAAAAUGUUGGAAGAGCAGAGAUUAAAAAAACAUUUUCAUCGUACUUUUUACAUGUGCCAGAUUCUAGGUAACCGUGCACAAUGGCUAGGAUGUUUGGCAUCGGAUAGAAGGUGUUUGCUUUGAUUAAAUAGGAAAAUCUUCAUCGCCCAUCAUGGAGGAUUUAAGCCGAUCCCAACACAUACUAGCUAGCAGAGGAGAUUCAAUUUUUUUUUUUUCCCUCAUGAAUCAACCAAUAAACAACCAGUGGAAUUUGGCGGCAAUAUCUGCCAAAUUCCGGCUAACACUCGCACCAUUAAUUACUGGGCAGUUUACCUUGCCUAAAUCUUAGUGUUGUAGUUUUUCCGGUAGAUGAUGGAGAUCCCAAACCAUCUUCAGGUCAGAAAGCUGUAGGGUCUUAGAAUCGAACAACAUGAUUGAUUUUCACCAAAAUUGUGGUAACAGUUAAAGAAAUGUAACAUUAAAUUCAAAUUAUGACAUGAUAAAUAAUGAUGGUUAUUAGUCCAAUAAUGAUAUUUAUUGUCUUUUUUUUUUUGUUACUUGUCAUCAUCUACAUCUACACCUACUCCUAGUCCUAGUCCUAAUCUAGGAGGUGAUUCAACAAGGUCACGAGAAACCGACGGGAACUAAACCACCAUCGGACCAUACGGGUGCACAGCACCCACAUGGAUCUUAAGCAAAGUCACAUUAAGUGGCACUUUUUGAUGGGAGGCAAGGGUUGACCUCCCACCCCAACAAUGGCCAAAUAAGGGCUCUUAAGUCUUUCUCGAGUUCAAAUCCUGCGCCUAGCGGUUGAGGGUGGGAUAGAUAUAGGAAAGGGUGGGACUUGGGAGGAUUAAAAAAGUUAUCCUAACAGUUACAAAAUAGAACGUCAAGUAUAAAUUAUUAAAAGUAAUAAUAUAAAACCCUUUGAUUACCUUGCAAUCCAUCUCAAGGUUCACUUUGUAUAGACAUAGGGGUGUCCUUUGUACUUUUUUAAGGGGCCUGCCAAAAAGACUAAAAUAUAAAUGAAGUAAAAACCAAAAAAUAAAGAAAACGAGAAAUGGAAUUUGCAACUAUCUCUUCAAACAAGUUUUCAAUUUACAAGAGUGAGUAGGAAUAAAGAAUUAAUUAAAUAUGGUGUCACAUUAUUAACAAAAACAACACUACAAAGAAUGCAAAGAGUCAUGUACAAAGACUUCACAUCUAUUCAAUUUAAAAAAAAACAUGCAUCUGAUUUCAUAUUGAAUCAUUUCAUGCAUAAUUAGCAAAUCCAAUUCACAUACAUAAUGGUAGAAUAUGCAAACAUCUAUGCAAGAUUGAAGUUUUAUUAUGAGAGUUCAGACUGCCCAACUCAAAAGAAAAAAUAAAGCCUAUUCAUAUACUAUAACAAUUUAUUUUUCUUAGCCAAAAAGAAAAAAAAAAAGGUAAGCAAUGAUGUUUGUUGAUGCUCAUAUCAAAGUCCACAAAUUAAUUAACUCAUUUUAACUCUAUUAUUACAAUUUAUUUGUAUUAGACAGGGAAAAAAAAAAAAAAGGAAACCCAUAAGCAAAGAUGUAAAUAUUGGCAUAUUGUUCAAAAUAUUGAUACUUAUGUUAAAGUCUUUGGCAUCUUAGUCACAUCUUUUUCCUUUUUUAAGAGUCACAGUUUGAUGGCUUUAAUUUACACUUUGAUUGGAAAGUGAGUUUGUUGGAGAACAGGAAGAGGAUGGAACUGGGAUAAAUAUACAAUAUGCCUUUACAUAAUUAAUAUGAACGCCCUUUUAGAAAUUGAUGUUACAUUUUUACCUUUUAUGUUACAAAUAUUUAUAAGCCCCAUUUGUUGUGCUCAUGCUUGCAAAGCACAUGAAGUAUUUAUUGCUUGGGGCAUUUUAAUUAGAAUCCUUUGGAAGGUAGGCCAGAACUUCAGAGAAAUGGAUCUGACUUCAGAGAAAUGGAUUAGGCUAACUGAAUAAGGAUACUAUUAUUAUCAGAUGAGAGACACAAUGAUGAAGGUCUGCUCCUGUCUUAAAUGGUUGGUCAUGAGCGACCCUCACGGCCAACCAUUUCUUCAGAAGUUAAUUGAAAGGUCCCAAAUGGAUGCCUCAGUGAAAUUGUCAUAGAAGCAGUAAGAGAGAAGCAAUCCUUCUUGAAUGUUUCGUUUUGCAAGCCAAGAUUAGAAACUUUUACCACUCACUGUACUAAGAAAUUCACUUCCUAUUAAAUAUCCUACUCUAUGCUAACUGCAUGCCUGCCUGCUUAUUUCCAACAGUUAAAUUGGCAAUUAAGAGCCGCGAUUGACAAGCUGAUUGGGACUGGAAUGGAUACGGCCUUCUUAAUCUAAUUGCAGACCGCGCAAAUCGCCUUUCAUUUGAUUUUUUUUUUUUGAGUAGUAUAUGCCUAAACUCUUUCUAGUGAAAUGUAAAUUUGCGGGAUUAUUCUAGCUUACCCGUGUUUAAUUGGAACAAAACCAGAAUCAAUGAUCAUGCCCGUAUUUCUGUACAAGUAUGGAACUUACUUUACAUCAGGCAAAGGUGCUGACAAUCCCCCCCAAGCAGGUCUUUCACUUUCACUUUCACUUUCACUUGUUUUGGAGGAGAUUACAGCCGGUAACAGUCACCAACAGUAGUGUUACAGCUUGCUGAACAUAAGUGCGGGAACUAUAUGAUUCAGAUGGCUUUAGCACUCGCGAACGCAACUCUUUCCCAAAGCUUGGUUGCUAAAGGUUAUGGGCUCGUGGAAUCCUCCAACUCAUUUUUGUUUCUGUGGGUUUUACGUUCAUGCCAAAGGUUCCUUCCAACUUCCAAGCAAUCAUUAAUGCUCUUCGACCACAGUGUAUUUUUUCCUAAACUCCUUGUUAGCCGCUGGGAAGAUAUGAAGCCCACGCACUUUGCACUUGCAUGAAGCGCAGCAGCUGCAUUGGGAUAAACACCAUCUAUCGUUCUUGGUCCAUUUUUAGGAUGGCAUCUGGAAGGCUGGUGUUGCGUGGAAGUUGUACUCAGAUAAACGUCAUUCAUUCUACAUUAGAAGCCUUUCGUAUUGAUGAGGUCUCUUCGUACGUAAAUCCGUUUUCUUUCCUUUUAUUAGUUUAUUUUUAGGUGCUGGGAUGGUAUUUGGAAGGAAGUGGUGAUGAUUUGGAGGGAAGAAAAAAAAAAGGAACGAAAACAGAUAUGCAACUCCACAGAAAAAAAGGUGCAACUAACAAGUCCAUUUUGUCUUGAACCCAAACUGCACAGGAGCCUUCCUCCACCAUUUUCUGAACUCCCAUGCUCAAUAUAUCAUCGUUUUGGAUGGAAAUACAACUGCAACCUUUGACCGUCAAUCAUAGUGGAAAAGUACUGAUUGAAAACAAAAAGAAAUUCAAAGAGCAAAGGGCAACAAGCACCCCAAGCAUAGGGGGAUAAUUCAGCCUAUAAUCUUUUGAAGCUAAUUUAUAAGCUGUUUACAUCAGAAAUAAGGUCAUGCACACAUCCUAACACCAUAUACCAUUUCAACCGAAUUUAUCUCCUUAUAUUAUAUAUAUAUAUAUAUAUAUAUAUAUAUAUAUAUAUAUAAACGGUUGAUAAUGCAGAAUUUCACUAGCUUGCCACCAUGAGUGAAAAAACCAUCAUGUCUCGUGCAAUAUUUGUGAUCCGUGUAUGCAUAUUACACGAUUCUGAUCGAAGGCGAAUGCACAGAUAAAAGGCUAUAGCGUGUACCCAGGAUUCCCUGGUCCAAACUUGGAACAUAUUUGAGCAUCAAGCAAAUAGGGCAGCUGGAGGACAGCUUAAAUUGCUAUUGAUCUGAUGGUUAAUGAUUGGGCUUUCCCAGCAUAUUUAGAAUAGUAGUUUACUAUAUCUAUAUUUUUUCGAGUUUUACCGUUUACCGUCCCAAUAUUCGGAUUCACCACGAGGAUGAGUACCUAACACUGCAAGUAAACAAAACACAAACGAAUUUCAAAUGAAGAAAGAACUCCCAACAAUACUGAAAUAAAGCUUAAACUGGCAAGUUCACAGAAACUGAAUCAGCAUUUAGUAAUUCCUGUCCCCAGGAAUGGAAUAGCCAAUCUUCCUCUCCAGAUACUCCACUAAUAAUGAACGAAACGUUUCUUACAGUCUGCGUAUAGCAAAACCCAUGAAGGGAAGCCGGCUAUAACAAAUAAGAACUUUGACAAAAACCAGAGAUUUAGUUCGAAUAUUACAGCAGAAAAGGGAAAAAGAAUCUGAGGGAAACGAAAAAUCUGCCUUUUUUGUUCUUUUCUUUUUAUCUCUCACCAUGUCACUACACAUGCAUGACACAACAUUUCACUGUAUAUCCCGCAAUCCAAUUUUACAACUCAACCAAAAUGCCUAGAACCAAAACCUAUAUUGAGAAACUCAAAGUUCAAAUCUUACACGAAAUCCCUUGCAGAUGCUCAUCUUGGCGCGUCCUAUAGAACCCGUAUAGUCAUACUUCAAUUGAACCUAACUAAAUGCAUUGCUAGCCAGAUAUCUUCCUUCCACAUAAACAAGUAAUUCACCAUCUGUCAUUGUAGUUCAGCUUGUACUUUCACCUACAACUUUACGAAAUCCACAUGGCAGACUCCUAGGCAGCAAUUCCUGCAGCAAAUUAAUAAAGCAUGUAAUUAAGCCAAAAAAACAAACAAACGAUGACAGUCAAAAUGUAAACAGCAAAUGAACAAAAAUAAUGAAUGAUGCAUGGUCUAAUACAACCUAUUUGAAUAACCAGUCAUCAUACAGAGCCAACCUAAUAUUUUCAUACUGCAAGAGAACUAUUAAAAACAGCUUUCACCAUUAAAACAACAGAACAUAGAAUAAACCAACAUCAAGAAGAUAGAAAAUCUACUCCACUUGUCAAAGAUAAAACCAAUAUUAACUCAUUAAGCAUGUGUUAAAAAUGCAUUGAAAAUCUUGAGACACUAAUUGCAAAUACUCCAGUGCUCAAUAGAAGAGAAAAAAGUAUCAACGACGCCGUAUAACUAGCACAUCAUUUCUCUCAUAAAAGGAGUCUCUAAUUUGAAUCUAUACAUGGUUCAUUACCAUCACAUGAAGUACAAUAUAUGCAAUAUAAUGAAGUGCACAAAACCUUUAACUUGUGAACAGUAUAAGUAUUAACCCUGGGACUUGGAACAUAAAAUUGGGAGACGUAAUUAGCUGUAUUGCAUCUUAUCUACUACGCCAUUCAUUUGUAAAAGGCCUCUAAGAGAGGGUUGCCUUGUCUCUUGUCUAAGCUUUAAAUGAUUAUUCUUCUGUAUGAACAAGAAUGAUCGUAGGUCUUCAAUGGGUAGGUUGGCAGUAAACAAAAUUCUGUCACUCGCAUCAAAUGCAUUCUAAAUAAACAAAAUAACUACUUCCGAUGGACUCUCAGGCAACAAUAGUUGGGCAGUAAUAUAACCUGCGUGGCUAAAAAGAACUAAUAUCCAAAUGAAGAACAUGCUUUAAUAUUUAGAGCAUUGGAUAAUACAAAAUAAAUAGCUCUAAAAAUCUUCUCCAUCCACAACACUCAAACAAGAGGAAUUGACCCCAAUGCAGCCUUUAAAUCUCCUAGGACUGACAAGAUGCUCAAACCUCAAGAGUGUAAUUAGCCCCCGCUGCCCAUUUAUUCAACUAAAUUCUAUAGACAGACUCGUAAGCACAUUAGUAGGUACUUGGUUCCUAUUUUGCUUAUCCUGAUUACUCUUUUGCUUUUUUUAUUUUUUAUUUUUUCCAGCAAGAGAGGUGUGAGAUUUAAGAAGCGGGAAGGGGAAAGGGGAACUAGAACCCAGGAGCUCUAAGUCUUGGAGCCUCAACCUCGGCCACUGGACCUAGGCCUCCUCGGCUACUUACUCUUUUGCUCACAUGUUUGUUUUCGUACACCAAUUUAACUUGCUGGACAGAUUUUGUUUACCCUUUUUUAUGCCAUUGAAGAGUUUAUUUGACUCAUAAUCCAUGUUUGGUUCAUUAAGAAUUUUAUUAAUUAUUCUAUUUUUAUUGUCCAUUUCCAUAGUAUUAAUUAAUAACCAUAUGUUAAGACAGUUUUUAAAUUUUGUUAUGACUAUGAAGAUAGAAAAACCAUGUUGAAGUUUAAUAUAUCCACAAUAUAGAUGUGAUUUUUUAUGUUUCAUUUAUAAAGAAAACACCAUGAUGUCAUAUGUCAAAGGAAGUUUACCACAUUUUCCCUUUACAAGUUUUGCCCCCCACUAAACAAAGUUAGGUACCUGCCCCUUUUCAAGCCCAAAUUAUUUUCAAUCUUUUGAUGUCGUUCUCAAACCCCAUGGAAAACGCAAUGAAAGCAUUGGUUUAUGGUACUUGAGAAGAAACUAUCUCCCAAUUUUUCUGGGCUUUUUAAUGUAUUAUAAAGCAGAAAUUGACCCUACAAAGGAAACAAAGCCUAUCUUUGCGAAAUCAGUGUCAUCAUAGCAAUAUUUUGCUAAAUACAAGCAUCAAACUAACAUCAUGCAAGUGAUGCAUUGCAAACCCAAGAAAACCACAUGAACCAAAUGAACCUAUGACAUGCAUGCUCUCCUUGAAUGCACGAAAAAACUUCAGACCAGACUUACACCAAUUUCAUGUCUGUCAACUAGGCUGUCUUCAUGCCAAUGAUUUUCACCAAUUCCAUGUUGUACUUAUUUUACAAGGCACAAAGUAGAACCAUUAUAUAAAUUGCAUAGUAUUUCCCCUGAGAUAAAUGUCCGGUGAAGAUUUACUAAGAACUUGCAAGGAAAUGCAUCUCAAGCAAAGCUACUACAAUUUUUGUGGAGACAAUGUACCUAACAUGUCUCCACAAGUUAUCCAGCUUGACUAUAGCACAUAUUGAGAAAGUUGAAUAUCAAAACUUCACCACUUACCACAGCAAAAGCUUGAAGGAAAAAGGAAUAGGGGGGAAAAAGUAAUAUUUACCUCUAUUAGAUCUACUUGCAACACUAUAACCACCAACAUAACCAACAGAGUUGCUGGGUGUAACAUUUGAAGUGGUAUCCCCAAGCCUAUAACUAAAGGUUCCAGAGCUUGCCAACUCUGGCGAUGAUGAUGGCCAUGCGGGCUCAUCAUAUAUUGAACCACUACCAUACAAGUUUCCAAAAGCCAUAUCAUGUGUAUCACUUCUU